UUUGAUGGCGACCGGCGCACGGGUGAGUAACACGUAUCCAACCUGCCGAUGACUCGGGGAUAGCCUUUCGAAAGAAAGAUUAAUACCCGAUGGUAUAGUUCUUCCGCAUGGUAGAACUAUUAAAGAAUUUCGGUCAUCGAUGGGGAUGCGUUCCAUUAGGUUGUUGGCGGGGUAACGGCCCACCAAGCCUUCGAUGGAUAGGGGUUCUGAGAGGAAGGUCCCCCACAUUGGAACUGAGACACGGUCCAA
rnacentral:rRNA from 1 species